rnacentral:rRNA from 1 species
CUACGGGUCGCUCCAGUGAGGAAUAUUGCACAAUGGGGGGAACCCUGAUGCAGCAACGCCGCGUGGAGGAUGACGCAUUUCGGUGUGUAAACUCCUUUUAUAUGUCAAGAAAAUGACGGUAGCAUAUGAAUAAGCACCGGCUAACUCCGUGCCAGCAGCCGCGGUAAUACGGAGGGUGCAAGCGUUACUCGGAAUCACUGGGCGUAAAGGACGCGUAGGCGGGCUUGUAAGUCAGGUGUGAAAUCCUACAGCUUAACUGUAGAACUGCACUUGAAACUACGAGCCUAGAGUAUGGGAGGGGGAGAUGGAAUUAGUGGUGUAGGGGUAAAAUCCGUAGAUAUCACUAGGAAUACCUAAAGCGAAGGCGAUCUCCUGGAACAUUACUGACGCUAAGGCGUGAAAGCGUGGGGAGCAAACAGGAUUAGAUACCCCCGUAGUC